GACGAACGCUGGCGGCGUGCCUAAUACAUGCAAGUCGAACGGGGUAAGCCUCUUCGGAGACUUACUUAGUGGCGGACGGGUGAGUAACGCGUGAGUAACCUGCCUUACAGAGGGGGACAACAGUUGGAAACGACUGCUAAUACCGCAUAACAUAUUAAGAAGGCAUCUUCAUAAUAUCAAAGGAGUAAUCCGCUGUAAGAUGGACUCGCGUCCGAUUAGAUAGUUGGUGGGGUAACGGCCUACCAUGGCGACGAUGUCUAGGGGUUCUGAGAGGAAGGUCCCCCANACUGGAACUGAGACACGGUCCAGACUCCUACGGGAGGCAGCAGUGAGGAAUAUUGGUCAAUGGUCUGACGACUGAACCAGCCAUGCCGCGUGAAGGUCACGGCCUAUGGGUCUUAAACUUCUUUUGUAAGGGAGCAAUAAGGCGUACGUGUACGUCGAUGAGAGUACCUUACGAAUAAGCAUCGGCUAACUCCGUG
rnacentral:rRNA from 1 species